rnacentral:rRNA from 1 species
AGGGAAUCUUCGGCAAUGGACGGAAGUCUGACCGAGCAACGCCGCGUGAGUGAAGAAGGUUUUCGGAUCGUAAAGCUCUGUUGUAAGAGAAGAACGAGUGUGAGAGUGGAAAGUUCACACUGUGACGGUAUCUUACCAGAAAGGGACGGCUAACUACGUGCUAGCAGCCGCGGUAAUACGUAGGUCCCGAGCGUUGUCCGGAUUUAUUGGGCGUAAAGCGAGCGCAGGCGGUUAGAUAAGUCUGAAGUUAAAGGCUGUGGCUUAACCAUAGUACGCUUUGGAAACUGUUUAACUUGAGUGCAAGAGGGGAGAGUGGAAUUCCAUGUGUAGCGGUGAAAUGCGUAGAUAUAUGGAGGAACACCGGUGGCGAAAGCGGCUCUCUGGCUUGUAACUGACGCUGAGGCUCGAAAGCGUGGGGAGCAAACAGGAUUAGAUACCCUGGUAGUCCACGCCGUAAACGAUGAGUGCUAGGUGUUAGACCCUUUCCGGGGUUUAGUGCCGCAGCUAACGCAUUAAGCACUCCGCCUGGGGAGUACGACCGCAAGGUUG